UACGGAGGGUGCGAGCGUUGUCCGGAAUCACUGGGCGUAAAGGGCGCGUAGGCGGCCUGAUAAGUAGGGGGGUGAAAUCCUGCGGCUUAACCGCAGGGCUGCCUUCUAAACUGUCGGGCUCGAGCACAGUAGAGGCAGGUGGAAUUCCCGGUGUAGCGGUGGAAUGCGUAGAGAUCGGGAAGAACACCAGUGGCGAAGGCGGCUAUCUGGACGGUUUCUGACGCUAAGACGCGAAAGCGUGGGGAGCAAACAGG
rnacentral:rRNA from 1 species